GAUCAUGGCCCAGGAUGAACGCUAGCUACAGGCUUAACACAUGCAAGUCGAGGGGCAGCGGGAAGUCAGCUUGCUGACUUUGCCGGCGACCGGCGCACGGGUGAGUAACACGUAUCCAACCUUCCCGUUACUCUGGAAUAGCCUUUCGAAAGAAAGAUUAAUACCGGAUAGUAUCGAGAGAUUGCAUGAUUACCCGAUUAAAGAUUCAUCGGUAACGGAUGGGGAUGCGUUCCAUUAGGCAGUUGGG
rnacentral:rRNA from 1 species